UAAAAUCCAGUAAUUUUGUGAGGAACACCAAAUGCGAAGGCAACUAUCUGGAAUAUUACUGACGCUGGAAGACGAAGGCAUAGGUAGCAAAUGGGAUUAGAGACCCCAGUAGUCUAUGCAGUAAACGAUGAGUGCUAAACGUACGGUAAUUAAAGAUUAUUGUGUGUUACAGCUAACGCAUUAAGCACUCCGCCUGGGGAGUACGGUCGCAAGACUAAAACUCAAAGGAAUUGACGGGGGCCCGC
rnacentral:rRNA from 1 species